GUGUACUGCUGUCAGGCGGCUAGCCUGCAUCACUGUACUUUUUACAGGGCGCGGUGUAUUGCGUUCUGAGGAGACGUACAGUCUGAGAAAAAAUACACUAUGCAUAGUUGCUGUUGUGCGGGCAAGCAGGUAAUCUCCACAGCGUGUGCUACCAGCCCUGCUUCCUUUGUGUCUGCAGUCUGUGAGUAUUAUCUAUGACGGGACCAUCCAUCCUGGAGUCACAGCACCGUGCCGAGGGAUCAGGAGCAGACCGGCCACAUUCGCUGGGGUCUGCCACCCGGAGCCACAGAUGACAGGGCAUAUGUUGUGUGGAGCUGCGGGUCAUAUAAUAAAGGGCUUUGUGCCAUGCACUAUAAUCUCACUGGGUCUCUGAGUGGGCCACACAGUCACAGGACUAGGCUCACCCUGUCACCCUUGAAAGAGCUGUCCCUUUUUUCUUAUGCCCACAUUCAGGCAUUAGGCAGUCUUAUCUGUGAUGCAAAAACAGGAACUGUCCAUUGGGAUUACAUGUUGAUCUCUGCUCUUAAUUAUUUAAUGAGCUAUCUUUUAUUUGGUCAGAAUUUUUUGAUAUAUAUAUUUGUGAGCAGCAGACUGUAUUAAGUCUUCUUGGUGAAAAUGUUUUGGCAUGGCCUGAUAUAUGACUGUUCCAACACUGGUUCAUAUACUGUCACUCUUUCGC